rnacentral:rRNA from 1 species
CCGCAAUGGGCGAAAGCCUGACGGAGCAAUACCGCGUGAGGGAGGAAGGCUCUUGGGUCGUAAACCUCUUUUCUCAAGGAAGAAGAAAGUGACGGUACUUGAGGAAUAAGCAUCGGCUAACUCCGUGCCAGCAGCCGCGGUAAUACGGAGGAUGCAAGCGUUAUCCGGAAUGAUUGGGCGUAAAGGGUCUGCAGGUGGAACUGAAAGUCUGCUGUUAAAGAGUUUGGCUUAACCAAAUAAAAGCGGUGGAAACUACAGAACUAGAGUGCGGUAGGGGCAAAAGGAAUUCCUGGUGUAGCGGUGAAAU